UAAUCUCUCUUUCUUGCUUCCUUCUGAUGGAUCCUUGCUAGUAGUAGUAUUACUCCGAGCAUGUUUAAUUUGGUUGCUACCUGAGAGAAGCAUGCCUGGACUUAUGUCCUGUUUGAAUCCAGGGACUAAAUCACAUAGAAUGUUUGAUAUUAAUUAGAAGUAUUAAACGUAGACUAAUGACAAAACCUAUUCUAUAAUCUUAGACUAAUUCGCGAGAUAAAUCUAUUGAGCCUAAUUAAUUCAUGAUUAGCCUAUGUGAAGCUACCGUAAAAAUAUGCUAAUUAUGGAUUAAUUAGGCUUAUAAAAUUUGUAUCGCAAAUUAACUCUCAUUUAUGUAAUUUGUUUUAUUAUUAAUUUAUAUUUAAUACUUCUAGUUAGUGUCAAAUAUAGUCCUUGUCACAUCGGAUGUUUAGACGCUAAUUUCGAGUAUUAAAUAUAGACUAAUUAGAAAACUAAUUGCAUAAAUGAGAGCUAAUUCACGAGAUAAAUUUUUUAAGCCUAAUUAAUCUAUAAUUAGCACAUAUUUAAUGCUAGCAUCACAUAGACUAUAAUCAUGGAUUAAUUAGGCCUAAAAAUUCGUCUCAUGAAUUAGGUCUUAUUUAUGCAAUUAGUUUUGUAAUUAGUCUAUGUUUAAUACUCUAAAAUAGCAUCUAAACAUCUAAUGUGAUAGGGACUAAAGUUUUAGGCUGUGUUUAGAUCCAGGGGUGAAAAGUUUUACCGUGUUACAUCGAAUAUACGGACAUACAUUUGAAGUAUUAAACGUAGUCUAAUAACAAAACAAAUUACAGAUUUCGCCUGUAAAUUGCGAGACGAAUUUAUUAAACCUAACUAAUUCAUCAUUAGAAAAUAUUUACUGUAACACCAUAUUAUUAAAUCAUGGAGUAAUUAGGCUUAAAAGAUUUGUGUCGAUCUUGAUUGGUUGCUACCCAAGACUGUUCUCCACUGGCCUGGCCUGACGCAUACUCCAGCCAUAGAGGCGUGCAAUUAGCGCGGCCGAUUUCUGUCGCCCGAGGCUCCAGGCGUAAACAAAUGCGUGCUUUACCAUCGAAAUCUCAACUGUACGAAGUCAUCACCGCGUGCCGCCAUCGCACGAGGCUGCCCCUGAUCUGACGCCACUGCGUGAAGCCCACACCUACCUCAAUCGCCACCGCCGGCAAGCGAAGCCACUGCCGUGGUCGUCGUUGAGCGAAGUCCCCGCGUUGGUCGAGUUUGUACGAAGCUUCGCGUGAUCCCCUUUGCCGGAUCCAGCUUAGAGCGAAGCUUCAAUUCAGCUGAUGCUGCUGAUUUUGCUGAUCGUUAUUGCGACUUUGGGGAUAUUUUUGGAAAGUUAGUAAUCAUCUACUCGAUCAGGCAGCAGCAGCAAACCAAACAAGCAACUCGUCAGGUGGAACCCAUGAGUUUGUUGGAGUGCAAAUUCUUCAGGCGUGGUGCUCAGGUCACCAACCAAACAGGCCUUCUGUCUUUCGUCCGUCUUGAGGGAUAUCAAGAAAAGACAUUCUCAUGGUUCUAAAAAAAAGGGAUAUCAAGAACUCAAAAAGACUUUCUCAUGAAUGAAUGUAUCUAAUUCCAUCUGAAACUCUGGUGGUAGCUUCAUACCCACUUCGGACUUUGCACUAGCUUGUACAUUUAGAGAAAUUCUGAAAGUAGUAUGUGAAGGUUGUUGAAAUAUGCUUAUAUACAAAACAUGACCAUACAUGUACUGGUAAUUACAAGAUUUCAAUGCCCAAUUAGUUGCAUUUUGCA